rnacentral:lncRNA from 1 species
UAGGAACCAACCCCCUCCCCAAGAAAAGUUACAGUAGCAGCCCAGGCCAACAUUCAGCCUGAAGUUAAAGGGGCCGGAGCCCGACGGUCAUCUCCAGCCGGCUCUUUCCCCCAACUUUGGUCCAGCACCGGCUUGGCGAGGUGGUUGGACUGGGCGUGCGCCUGGGGCGGUAACCUGGACGCGGGUCACCUGCCUCGCAAGAGUGGACGCAGCCUCCCGCCCCACGCCCUCCACCUCCUCCUCCAUCGCUGUCUCCCUCCCUGGACGCCAGCGUCGGCGCCCCCUGCCCACCUCGCGAGGGGAACCGGCCGCAGCCCCCCCGGAGGUCAGCGCAGUGCAGCCUCCAGAGAAAGCCUUUCCUUGCCGUAUUGGAUGAAAACCUUUGUGUCUCUCAACUUUGUCUUCAGAGAAAACCAGCUCCUCGUGCUUCAUUUCAUUCCUAUCCUUGGACUUCCGAAGAGGUAGAAAUAGCUGGUCUUGGAGUCCCAGUCCCUGACAGUCUUUCAAGAUUUCUCUGCUCCUGCCAUCGGAGCAGACCUAAGUCU